rnacentral:tRNA from 1 species
ACUUAUCUAAUAUAAUUAGUAUACUUGACUUCCAAUCAAGAAGUUUGUUGUAGCAAGUUAAGUA